rnacentral:lncRNA from 1 species
AAGAUGAUAUGGGUUUUCAUUAUAAUUAUUUUAAUACUCAAACCACCUUUAUUAUCAGUCAUCACUCCAAUCAUGGCAAAACGAUAUUCACCAUGGCCUCCACAACAAACAAAUCAGAUUUAAGCUUUGCCACUACCACCGUUGUCGUCAAAAAGCUCAUCAGCCAUGGCCACCACAACAACCAUAUCAGAUUUCAAACUUUGCUACUUCUACCGUUGUUCACCAAAAAUCCAUCAUUAUUAAACGCGCUAGUGAGAGAGAAGCAAGGCAAAGCUACGAUCCGGCUAUCUUAACACCAAGCUGCAAGCUACUUUCAUCGUAAAGUUUGCUUUAUGUGCAGAAAAUUUCCAGGUCCUCAAACAACAAAUCCAACCCAGAAACCAAGGAACAAAGAAUGCCUGAUUCAUAUCGCAUAAAAAGCUACUACUUUUCCUGUCCAGAAUUACAAAGAAUUGAACAAGACCCAGAUUUAAGCUUUGAUGGCAUUGUUUCAAUCAAGGGAGAUAAGGGAAACCAAGUGUAUUUAGGCUAUUUCUCUCGUAAUCUUUCAUAUUGAAAACCCUAAGAAUUUGAAUUUUAAGAGAGGAAAAAUAGAUUUUGGUUGAAAAGAUAAAGACCGUGUUUCUUGCGGCCUGGGUUAUUAAAAUGCAAGAUAUUUUAUGUUAUUUUAAAUUAGUGUUGAUUAGAGAUGUAGAUUUUAAUUUUUUUAAAGUAUGAAAAUAAAGUUUUAUC